rnacentral:misc_RNA from 1 species
UGAAAUGCGAUAAUUAAUGUGAAUUGCAUAACUCUGUGAAUCAUCAAGUCUUUGAACGCAUCUUGCACUUGUACCUUGUACGAGUAUGCCUGUUUGAGAAUUGGAAAACCAUUGCAGGCCGACGUGUUUGUCGUAGCUGCAGAUGUGGGGCUUAGCCUUGCGCUGUGCCCUGAAAUUGUCCACUGCCGCCAGGCGCGAUAGACAGUCGCUUGGCAGACAGAAAAGUGUGCGCAUACAAUACAAUCUCAAAUCAGGCAAGAUCACCCGCUGAACUUAA